rnacentral:lncRNA from 1 species
UGAAAGUCAACAAGCAUAGGUCAACUUCAAAAAAUCAUAUCAAUUUGAAAACAGAAGAGAAAUGAAUGAUAUUAACACCAAUGCAAAGCUCAAGGGGUCUAGUUAUCACAUAUGAAAUUUCAUGGUCAUACAAUAAGAUUUGAGAAUUUCACAAAAGAUUUGGCAAUGCAUAGCACAAAAAGUCCACAAAUGACCAAGCAUGGAAGAAAAUUCUCAAUUAAAU